AGCAGCCAUCAUUUAAAGAAAGCGUAAUAGCUCACUGGUCGAGUCGGCCUGCGCGGAAGAUGUAACGGGGCUAAACCAUGCACCGAAGCUGCGGCAGCGACACUGUGUGUUGUUGGGUAGGGGAGCGUUCUGUAAGCCUGUGAAGGUGUGUCGUGAGGCAUGCUGGAGGUAUCAGAAGUGCGAAUGCUGACAUAAGUAACGAUAAAGCGGGUGAAAAGCCCGCUCGCCGGAAGACCAAGGGUUCCUGUCCAACGUUAAUCGGGGCAGGGUGAGUCGACCCCUAAGGCGAGGCCGAAAGGCGUAGUCGAUGGGAAACGGGUUAAUAUUCCCGUACUUGGUGUUACUGCGAAGGGGGGACGGAGAAGGCUAUGUUGGCCGGGCGACGGUUGUCCCGGUUUAAGCGUGUAGGUGUGUGUUCCAGGUAAAUCCGGUUCACUUUAACACUGAGGCGUGACGACGAGGCACUACGGUGCUGAAGCAACAAAUGCCCUGCUUCCAGGAAAAGCCUCUAAGCAUCAGGUAACAUCAAAUCGUACCCCAAACCGACACAGGUGGUCAGGUAGAGAAUACCAAGGCGCUUGAGAGAACUCGGGUGAAGGAACUAGGCAAAAUGGUGCCGUAACUUCGGGAGAAGGCACGCUGACACGUAGGUGAAGUGAUUUACUCAUGGAGCUGAAGUCAGUCGAAGAUACCAGCUGGCUGCAACUGUUUAUUAAAAACACAGCACUGUGCAAACACGAAAGUGGACGUAUACGGUGUGACGCCUGCCCGGUGCCGGAAGGUUAAUUGAUGGGGUCAGCGCAAGCGAAGCUCCUGAUCGAAGCCCCGGUAAACGGCGGCCGUAACUAUAACGGUCCUAAGGUAGCGAAAUUCCUUGUCGGGUAAGUUCCGACCUGCACGAAUGGCGUAAUGAUGGCCAGGCUGUCUCCACCCGAGACUCAGUGAAAUUGAACUCGCUGUGAAGAUGCAGUGUACCCGCGGCAAGACGGAAAGACCCCGUGAACCUUUACUAUAGCUUGACACUGAACAUUGAGCCUUGAUGUGUAGGAUAGGUGGGAGGCUUUGAAGUGUGGACGCCAGUCUGCAUGGAGCCGACCUUGAAAUACCACCCUUUAA
rnacentral:rRNA from 1 species